CAUGGUUUUGGGUAAACCAGCUCCAUUAGUCAGCACGUUUAGGUUGAGUUACUAUACAAUUCUGAAUUUAUUGAGUCAUGCUCAAGGCCAAUUUACUGCCGAGCAUGUUAUCAAACACUCAUUCCACCAGUUUCAGCAUGAGAAGGCGUUACCUGACAUUGGAAAGAGGGUCUCUAAGCUGGAAAAAGAAGCUGCAAAGCUUGAUGCAUCAGGGGAGGGUGAGGUUGCAGAAUAUCAUAAACUAAAGCUUGAGAUAGCACAACGCGAAAAAAAACUGAUGGCUGAAAUAACACGGCCUGAAAGGGUUCUCCAUUUUCUUCUUCCCGGUAGGCUGGUCAAGGUAUGGGAAGGUGGAAAAGAUUGGGGUUGGGGUGUUGUAGUCAAUGUGGUAAAAAAACCUCCAGCUGCGUCGGGUUCUAUGCCUGCUGCACUCUCUGCUUCACGUAGCACGGGCUAUAUUGUGGAUACCCUACUUCAUUGCUCUCUUGGUUCUGGUGAAAAUGGUUCUCAACCCAAACCAUGUCCACCUCGUCCAGGGGAGAAGGGAGAAAUGCAUGUAGUUCCUGUUCAAUUGCCCCUGAUUUCUUCCCUCAGUAAGCUUCGAAUAUCUGUUCCUGCGGAUCUUCGGCCAUUGGAGGCAAGGCAAAGCAUCCUUCUUGCUGUUCAGGAGCUUCAGAAACGUUUUCCUCAAGGCCUCCCGAAGCUUAACCCUGUAAAGGACAUGGGAUUUGAAGAUCCUGAAUUUGUUGAUAUAGUGAACCAGAUUGAAGAACUGGAGAAAAAAUUGUUCGCUCAUCCACUACACAAGUCACAAGAUGAACAUCAACUUAAGAGUUUCCAAAAGAAGGCGGAAGUGAACCAUGAAAUUCAACAGCUCAAGUCGAAA
rnacentral:misc_RNA from 1 species